rnacentral:rRNA from 1 species
AUUGAACGCUGGCGGCAGGCAUAACACAUGCAAGUCGAGCGAGAGGCGGACGGGUAAGUAAUGUAGGGGGACUGCCCGAUAGAGGGGGAUAACUACUGGAAACGGUAACUAAUACCGCAUACUAUCGGAUAACCCAUAUGGGAUUAGCUAGUAGGGGAGGUAAUGGCUCACUGAGGCGACGAUCCCUAGAUGGUCUGAGAGGAUGAUCAGCUACACGGGGACUGAGACACGGCCCAGACGCCUACGGAGGCAGCAGUGGGGAAUAUUGCACAAUGGGCGCAAGCCUGAUGCCGCCAUGCCGCGUGUAUGAAGAAGGCCCUAGGGUUGGAAAGUACUUUCAGUCGGGAGGCGUUACCGACAGAAGAAGCACCGGCUAACGCCGUGCCAGCAGCCGCGGUAAUUC